UAAGAAUGCCAAUGAGAACUAUCCACCAGAGAUUGAGCCACAAGGCUGCAAGAACUAUCUUUCUUUCAUGUGAAUUUUGUGUAUACUUUGUAUACUUUGUAAGCUCCCCUACAGCUGAUAGUUAACAUUUUCAUCAAAUUAUGAUUUAAAUUAUCCUUUCUUUAAAUAAAAUUAUUUGGUAAUUAAACUUUUUUAAAUAAACAUUGAAAAAGCUUCUAAAUUUUCUGAAAAAAUUACAUUUAAUAGGCACUUUUGAAUUUUUUGCCUAUUUAAAAAAAAAUAUACCAGUAAUGGCACAAGGAUAGAAGAUUUGUGGAAUCAAAUAGGUAACAACUAUAGUGAUAAUGAAAUAUUCUAAUAAUAACCAGUUUUUUAAUGUCUUGACUUAAUGGACUUAUUGUAUGAUGAUAUAUGUGACCAGUUAGAAAAGUGGACAAUGAAAUAUUCAAACAUGGAACUUACUGAAGUUAAUAAGACUUAAAAUUCAAAAUUGAAACCAGCAAGUGAAUUAUUUACAACGGCCUUGGAACCAGCAAGUGAAUUAUUGACAUUUAUUUUGAUGUGACCAGUAUUCAUGUGGAUGGACAGUACUAGUGGACUACAAACUGAUAAAUCUCACAGAAAGGCACAUCACAACUGAGUCUGAAGCUGUUACAUACAAAAGACAAGAUAUCCAGGAAAUAAGAAUUGUAUGUGAUCUAUUUAAAGAUCUUAGGACAGUAGGACCUGGAAGUACUAUAUUACCAACUUCAAGAUUAACUGAGCUUGAGAAAUUACAAAUCAACUGAUACAUAAGAAGAGACUUUGCCAUGUGGAUGAACUUGGAAACAAUUAUUGACAAACAAUAUAGUGUAUUAGUAUUCUUGUAAAAAUCAAUAGAGAGAGAGAGAGAGGAAGGAUAGGAGAGAGUCAGUUGUAAAGAUUUAUCUCUUUUUAACCAGACAUGUCGAUUACAUUAGAAUUUCAGAGGCCUACAGUUCUCCCUUAAAUGGUCAUAGUUAAUACAUGAAGUAGUUAAAGUAGAGGACUUUAGUGUGACCAGUGAAAACAAUCAGGCAGCUGCCAUUGGUUUAAAUCUCUUUUUUCGAAGAUGUUUUGGUUACAUUAGAAUAAAUCUGUGAGGAAUGACAAAAAAAAUGUAAAAAAAAAUAAUUUGUGGUUUUUUGUACAGUUUCAUUAUGCAAUCUUGAAUACAUUUAUGAUUACUAUUUAUAAAGAAGUAUUAUCAUUAGAAUGAGGAUGGAAAAUGUUUAAACAUUUAUUUGAGACAGAGUUUUGCAUUAUUUCAUUAAAAUUAUUAAAUUCUUUUUGUGUGAAUGAAGGACAAACAGGGAAAACAGAAGCUAUUCUAUGAAUUUCAAAUUGUAUUUAUUUACAUUUGAUUGAUUAGUUGAAGAUUAACUACAAGUAUUCAGCAUAGUAUAAAAUUAAGGAUGCACUGCAAGUGUAUAUUAUCUUUAUAGUUAUCAUCACACUAUGUCCAAUCUAGAUGUACAACACUCUUUUUUUAUAGUGUUCAGUAAAUUAUCAGGAACACCAGUUGUGAUGAAUGGGAAGACUGGCAGGCUGAGAAAUGGGUAUAAGGGGAGGGAAUACCCCUGCUUAUCUUUUCAUACUGGUUAGUUCCUUUGGUAAAGGUUUUGUACAAAUGUUGUUCAUAUCAGAUGUAUACGAUUUGAAGAGAGUUGUUAUUUGGAGCUCUGUAAAAAAAAAAAAAAAAAGAAUUGUAUAAUCAGAGUUCUAGAUAAUAACUGGGUGGUAUGAAAUGUGGGUUAAAUAUUUUCGGUAUAUUUACAAUGAUUUUUUUUUUUUUAUGCAUCUGAUAUUUUUUGUGUAUAAAAUGUUUUGUUAUUUUUUACAGAAUUGCUUUAGUUGCCUUCCUGACUAACAUUUAUUGGUGAAUGGAGAGACUAGCAGGCUGAGAUUGAGGCGUAAGGGGAGGGAUUACCCCUGCUUUUCUCUUCAUACUUGUAAAUUCUGUCACUGCACGGAAGGUCAACAAUUAAGAAUAUAUAAGUUAUCUUUUUUUAUGUAUCAAUGUAAGUUAGAGAAGUUAUAUCAGAUGUAUAUAAAGUAAGAUGAAAGUAUUCUUUAGAGCUCUGUAAAAAAAAAAAGCUUGUAAACAGAGGUCUAGAUAAUGCAUUAAGGGGUUUGGUUUGGCAUGGGAAUUUCAAAUUUUAUUUACAAGUCAUCAUCUACAAAAAUGCAUCUGAUAUUAUUUGCCCAAGCCCAAUUUCGUGUCCCAAAUAUAAUGACUACAGAAUAAUGGUGACAGCUUGGUCAACACCCUUAUUUUAAGUUUGAUUCACCCCUCCUUUCGUCGCCCACCCCACCCCACCCCAACCCCACCCUUUUAAUAAGUAGUUAUAGGUUAAGGUUUCUUAUUGGGAUUAAUGAUUGAUUGAUUGAUUUUAAUUAAGUGUCACAGAAUUAUUAAGAUACUAAUUUCUGUGUAACAAGAUUAAUCUCCAAUAUUUGAAGGUGUUUUUGAUCAAGUUUUAUUAAACUCAAAAUGUUUAGUAUUUCAUCAGCUCUGUCGAAUACAAAAUAGAAAUUUACCUCUAUAGAUAUAUCUGCAUUUUAUAUGCUACGAAAUUUUGCCUGUUUUACAAAGAUUUAUCUAACAAAAUGAAAAACCCUGUCCAUGAAAUUGAUUUAAUUGAACUUUCACACUGUUGAUAAUAACCCUGUUUGUUCAUGACAAUUUUACAUGUGGUAGUCUCGAUGUAAUAUAUAGUUCUUCCACUAACAACCCUGUUUGUUCAUGACAAUUGUACUCUUGAAAUAUCUGUUACAAUUACACACCCAUGCUUUUUCCCUAUAGGGUUUUUUAAUGCAGGGUGCAUGUUUUUCUAUGUUACCAUAUGUUUGUCUCUCUUUUUAAUAAAGAACAAUUACAUAGAAA